ensembl:lncRNA
GUAAGAAUUAGUAGGCUAGUGAUAGACAUUUGAGGACACCAUUCUCUUCUGCCAGGGAGUGACUUGGCACAGCCGCUGGAGAGGAUGAGAAGACCAAGGGGAAGGGAAAGAACAUGUCCUUCUGGUGACUGUGCAGCGGCUCUGGCAGUCAUUGCCUGGGUCCCAGGCUGGGAGCAGACGUGCCAGUUCCAGAGACUGCUUGUGCAGAGGGGAGCCAGCCCCGGAGACGAAUGGGAAGCUAAAUGUUGGUCAACCUUGUGGGCCACCAAAGCCACCACAGUUCUUAUAGAGUCAGCCUAGAUCCACUAGAGAUCAGGCUCCAAAGAGCCUGGAUCCUCAAGGCCUUUGCUCCCGAGCCAAGAAAUUCCUAGCUUUGUUAGUGGUGGGAACAGAGCCAGAGGGAAAUCAGCUUUGCUUAUGAGGUGAGGGAGAGAAGGGAAACUGGGAACUUGGAGGUUAGAAUGAGGCAAGAUUCAGAUGAUUUGUAGGGAAUUCCUCCUGUGGUGGGCACUCAGGAGCCACUUCCAGCUGAGGAGGUAGGGAGCCCCCUUCCUGGAAUCCCAGAGCUUCAUCUCAGAAGCGCAGGCCUUGACUCCAGGGUGGCCUGCCCCAUGCAAGGGAAGUCCUGCCAGUGUGUCAACACCAGAAACUUUGUGGCUGUCAAGGAGGUCUGAGGAAGAAAACCGGGGAGAGGGUGGCGCUGUGGAAAGAGGAAGGAGGAGAAUCUUUGUAUAUUCUGUCCCUUAGGCCUAGAAUGUCCUCCCACAAGCAGCCCGCCAACGCAUGUGCUCUGUCAUGAACCCCUGGAUAUUCUGCAAAUCUAAUGUUUCUCCCCGCGAAACCUUCCCUGUAACUUUUAUUUAGACACUUGGUUCAUUCCUCCUUGGUAUAACAGGAGGAGUUGGGAGAUAUCCAAAUAAAGUGGAGGUAGUCCAGAGCUCCACAGAAGGGAGGCUAGUUCUAAAGUCGGACUAUAUAUUCCAGAAAUUUUGCCAUACCCCCUAAACCUCUGGUUCCAAAUCUGUGGGACCAUGGCACCCUGCUGCCGACUUGCCCUUGUGUAUCAGUGGGUCCCAGUGUUUAGGAAGCCUGAAACAACAAGGCGCUGUGAACACCAAGCCCGGAAACAGCAGCCACAGCUUGCUGCGAGCCUGGCACGGGCCUGACCUCCUUCCUUCCCAAGAGGAAAGGGAGGGCCACCACCUACCCAGGCAGGAUGUGGGGGAGAAACCUGACAUCCUUCGCAGACCUGCUCGCUCGCCCCCGAACCUGCCCUCAUCGGCUCCACCUGCUCUCCUGAAGGUAGCCUGGACUCAGCGCUCUGAGAGGCGUCCUGCAGAGCGCGCGGAAAAUGUGGCUUUUGCAGGGCUGGGUCUGUCCACCUACUGCAGUGCCCAAAGUCCGAUGCCCUCCACAGUUUGGCCAAAUCUACUUUGCCGGCCUCGUCUCCGCGAUUUCCUCCCUGGGGUAGACUAGGGUUAGAGCCGGACGGGUGGGGAGCCGAGGCAAACAAACAACUCUGGGCGUGUCAGCCCCGCCCCGACCAGGGCACUGCCGAGUCGGGAUUGGCUGAUGUCGCCUGUAUUCUGGUUGGUCGGGGGAGGGUGCUCAUUCACAGGGAGCGCUGCUCCACUCGGGCUGGAAGUUUCCUACGCUGCUUCGCUUUCUGCACUCUGCACAAAAGUUGUACCACCUUGUAUGUAAACAGAUAAAAUCAAGUUAUCUAAUGUGCCUCCGAAUAUAACGUUGGCCCCUUGAAGGAUGGCCGAAUCUGUCAGCUUGCUGUAUCCUAUUUCUAAAUCACACACGUGAGGCCGAUUAACGGGCUUUCCCGGUGGUUCAGCGGUGAAGAAACAGCCUGCAAGGCAGGAUGACCCAGGAGAUGCGGGUUGGAUC